rnacentral:rRNA from 1 species
AUACGUAGGUGGCAAGCGUUGUCCGGAUUUAUUGGGCGUAAAGCGAGCGCAGGCGGAAAAAUAAGUCUAAUGUGAAAGCCCUCGGCUUAACCGAGGAACUGCAUCGGAAACUGUUUUUCUUGAGUGCAGAAGAGGAGAGUGGAACUCCAUGUGUAGCGGUGGAAUGCGUAGAUAUAUGGAAGAACACCAGUGGCGAAGGCGGCUCUCUGGUCUGCAACUGACGCUGAGGCUCGAAAGCAUGGGUAGCGAACAGGAUUAGAUACCCUGGUAGUCCAUGCCGUAAACGAUGAGUGCUAAGUGUUGGGAGGUUUCCGCCUCUCAGUGCUGCAGCUAACGCAUUAAGCACUCCGCCUGGGGAGUACGACCGCAAGGUUGAA